rnacentral:hammerhead_ribozyme from 1 species
AUCCAAGUGACGAGUCCCAGACAAGAUGAAACGUGCGUUCUGGAU